AGAGUUUGAUCCUGGCUCAGGACGAACGCUGGCGGCGUGCUUAACACAUGCAAGUCGAGCGGAAAGGCCUCUUCGGGGGUACUCGAGCGGCGAACGGGUGAGUAACACGUGAGCAACCUGCCCUGGACUUUGGGAUAACCCUCGGAAACGGGGGCUAAUACCGAAUAUUACCUUUGCCUGCAUGGGUUUUGGUGGAAAGUUUUUUCGGUCUGGGAUGGGCUCGCGGCCUAUCAGCUUGUUGGUGGGGUGAUGGCCUACCAAGGCGACGACGGGUAGCCGGCCUGAGAGGGCGACCGGCCACACUGGGACUGAGACACGGCCCAGACUCCUACGGGAGGCAGCAGUGGGGAAUAUUGCACAAUGGGCGGAAGCCUGAUGCAGCGACGCCGCGUGAGGGAUGACGGCCUUCGGGUUGUAAACCUCUUUCAGCAGGGACGAAGCGCAAGUGACGGUACCUGCAGAAGAAGCGCCGGCCAACUACGUGCCAGCAGCCGCGGUAAGACGUAGGGCGCGAGCGUUGUCCGGAUUUAUUGGGCGUAAAGAGCUCGUAGGCGGCUUGUCGCGUCGACUGUGAAAACCCGCGGCUCAACCGCGGGCCUGCAGCCGAUACGGGCAGGCUAGAGUUCGGUAGGGGAGACUGGAAUUCCUGGUGUAGCGGUGAAAUGCGCAGAUAUCAGGAGGAACACCGGUGGCGAAGGCGGGUCUCUGGGCCGAUACUGACGCUGAGGAGCGAGAGCGUGGGGAGCGAACAGGAUUAGAUACCCUAGUAGUCC
rnacentral:rRNA from 1 species